CCAGCACCCCGAGUGGUCGGGACGAUUAUUGGGCCUAAAGCAUCCGUAGCCGGUUUUACAAGUCCUCCGUUAAAUCCAACUGCUUAACAGAUGGGCCGCGGAGGAUACUAUAAGACUAGGAGGCAGGAGAGGCAAGCGGUACUCAGUGGGUAGGGGUAAAAUCCGUUGAUCCAUUGAAGACCACCAGUGGCGAAGGCGGCUUGCCAGAAUGCGCUCGACGGUGAGGGAUGAAAGCUGGGGGAGCAAACCGGAUUAAAUACCCGGGUAGUCCCAGCUGUAAACGAUGCAGACUCGGUGAUGGACUAGCUUUAUGCUAGUCCAGUGCCGCAGGGAAGCCGUUAAGUCUGCCGCCUGGGUAGUACGGUCGCAAGACUG
rnacentral:rRNA from 1 species